AGUAAUGUCUGGGAAACUGCCUGAUGGAGGGGGAUAACUACUGGAAACGGUAGCUAAUACUGCAUAACGUCUUCGGACCAAAGUGGGGGACCUUCGGGCCUCACGCCAUCGGAUGUGCCCAGAUGGGAUUAGCUAGUAGGUGGGGUAAUGGCUCACCUAGGCGACGAUCCCUAGCUGGUCUGAGAGGAUGACCAGCUACACUGGAACUGAGACACGGUCCAG
rnacentral:rRNA from 1 species